rnacentral:rRNA from 1 species
CAGCCGCCACGGUAAUACGUAGGUGGCAAGCGUUGUCCGGAUUUAUUGGGCGUAAAGCGAGCGCAGGCGGUUUCUUAAGUCUGAUGUGAAAGCCCCCGGCUCAACCGGGGAGGGUCAUUGGAAACUGGGAGACUUGAGUGCAGAAGAGGAGAGUGGAAUUCCAUGUGUAGCGGUGAAAUGCGUAGAUAUAUGGAGGAACACCAGUGGCGAAGGCGGCUCUCUGGUCUGUAACUGACGCUGAGGCUCGAAAGCGUGGGGAGCAAACAGGAUUAGAUACCCCCGUAGUCCCUGUCUCUUAUAC